GAUGAACGCUGGCGGCGUGCUUAACACAUGCAAGUCGAACGGGCUCAUAUUGAAACCUAGUGAAGUAUGAGUUAGUGGCGGACGGGUGAGUAACGCGUGGAAAACCUGCCGUAUACUGGGGGAUAACACUUAGAAAUAGGUGCUAAUACCGCAUAAGCGCACAGCUUCGCAUGAAGCAGUGUGAAAAACUGAGGUGGUAUACGAUGGUUCCGCGUCUGAUUAGCUAGUUGGUGGGGUAAAAGCCUACCAAGGCAACGAUCAGUAGCCGGCCUGAGAGGGUGAACGGCCACAUUGGGACUGAGACACGGCCCAAACUCCUACGGGAGGCAGCAGUGGGGAAUAUUGCACAAUGGGGGAAACCCUGAUGCAGCGACGCCGCGUGAGUGAAGAAGUAUUUCGGUAUGUAAAGCUCUAUCAGCAGGGAAGAAAUACUGACCAUAGGGUCAGCAGACGGUACUUGACUAAGAAGCCCCGGCUAACUACGUGCCAGCAGCCGCGGUAAUACGUAGGGGGCAAGCGUUAUCCGGAUUUACUGGGUGUAAAGGGAGCGUAGGCGGUUCAGCAAGUCAGAAGUGAAAGCCCGGGGCUCAACUCCGGGACUGCUUUUGAAACUGUUGAACUAGAUUGCAGGAGAGGUAAGUGGAAUUCCUAGUGUAGCGGUGAAAUGCGUAGAUAUUCGGAGGAACACCAGUGGCGAAGGCGGCUUGCUGGGCUCUAACUGACGCUGAGGCUCGAAAGUGUGGGGAGCAAACAGGAUUAGAUACCCUGGUAGUCCACAUUGUAAACGAUGAUAGCUAGGUGUGGGGGGUCUGACCCCUUCCGUGCCGGAGUUAACGCAAUAAGCUAUCCACCUGGGGAGUACGGCCGCAAGGUUGAAACUCAAAGGAAUUGACGGGGGCCCGCACAAGCAGUGGAUUAUGUGGUUUAAUUCGAAGCAACGCGAAGAACCUUACCAGGUCUUGACAUCCAACUAACGAGAUAGAGAUAUGUUAGGCGCCCUUCGGGGAAAGUUGAGACAGGUGGUGCAUGGUUGUCGUCAGCUCGUGUCGUGAGAUGUUGGGUUAAGUCCCGCAACGAGCGCAACCCCUGCCAUUAGUUGCUACGCAAGAGCACUCUAAUGGGACCGCUACCGACAAGGUGGAGGAAGGUGGGGACGACGUCAAAUCAUCAUGCCCCUUAUGACCUGGGCUACACACGUAAUACAAUGGCCGUUAACAGAGGGAAGCAAUACAGCGAUGUGGAGCAAAACCCUAAAAACGGUCUCAGUUCGGAUUGUAGGCUGCAACCCGCCUACAUGAAGUUGGAAUUGCUAGUAAUCGCGGAUCAGCAUGCCGCGGUGAAUACGUUCCCGGGCCUUGUACACACCGCCCGUCACACCAUGGGAGUUUGUAACACCCGAAGUCAGUGUCCCAACCGCAAGGAGGGAGCUGCCGAGGGUGGGAUAAGCGACUGGGGUG
rnacentral:rRNA from 1 species